rnacentral:pre_miRNA from 1 species
AUGCACAUCGCCUGAGGACCUUGUUAAAAUGGAGAUUCUGAUUCACUUAGGCUGGGGGACCCUAAGAUUCUGCAUUUCCAACAAGGUCCCAAGUGAUGUGAUG